rnacentral:lncRNA from 1 species
UGCAUUAAUGUUUAACACAUUGAUUGGCCUACAACGACAAAAUGAAGAAAAUCUGAAGUUUAUCAACCAAUCAAAAUUAUUUUUCAUUGAAAACAUGCCAAUUGCUCAUGAGAAAAGAGGACUUUAAUGAUAAAUUAUGUGUUACAAAAUAGUUGAAAGGGCAAAAGUAAAUGAUAUUCAAUUCUAUGUGAGAAGAGAAGAUCCCAUUUGGACACGUCCUC